GUCCGACUACAAAACAGUUAUCGGCUCUCCUCGACAAUCCUCAUGUGAGUAUUAUGCACUUUGUAACUUAUAUUAUGAGCUAAUUUAAAAUCUCAGCACGCAAUCAUUAACAGAGUUGAAAACAUGUCAGGUUGAGGUCAUAACUAAGUUGACGCCAUCGAUAGAGGAGGAGGGUCGAGGACUGGUACGGGAGGAGCGUGAAUUUUAUAUAAUUUAUUGAUUAACAUUUUUUAUAAUUAAGUUAAUAAUCUAUAAUGCUAUUUGUGUAGGAGCACGGUCCAGUUGAUAGACGAUUACGUCCGUCGAGAGCAUCACCAUCGUUGAUGGCAUCACCUCCACUGAGGGCAUCACCGCCGCCAAUGUCAUCACCUCCGUCGAUGUGGAGCGACAGUUGAUGGAGAGGGUAGACAAUUUGGAGCGAUGGUUGAUGGGGAGGGUCGACGACUUGUCCUAGAAUAUUACACUGCUACGUGGCCACGUCGUAUCCCUCUAGGAUGAGGUCACAGCGCUCCGAGGUGAUAUUGCGGGUAGGCGAUGGACUGACAGAAAGGGUGAUGGAGAGGGUGGCGAAGAGGGAGGUCACCCACAUUUUUGGACAGACGGUGCAUUAAAAUCAUUUCUAUUAUCUCUGGAACGAGAUUGGGUAUCCCCGAUGGAGACGAGAGUAACAACGGUGGAGGAGAGGGUGACGAAAGCAGUGGGCUCGAUGGGGACUGGAGAGCCAGCCGGGGAGGAAGAGAGGGUGACGAAGGCGGGAGAGCCAACCGGGGAGGAGGAGAAGGUGAUAGGGAGGGAAGAGCCGAUCAGGGAGAAGGAGAGGGUGACGGAGGCGAUGGGCUCAAUGGGACAGGAGAGCCAGGAAAGGAAGAGGAGGUGAUGGAGGAGACGAUCCCCGGGGAUAAGAAGUGUGUUGUUGACUUCACGGUGCAGGCGAUCGGGAAGAGGCCGAGAUUGCCGUAGCAGUACAUGGUUUCUCCCUUCAUGGUCGAGAUGAAGAGGAUGAGGUUCAUCGAUGGGACGAUUCCGAACCUAGUUCGGGAGGUGGACCAUGCCAAAUGGAAAACGUUCCAGACGGAGUGGAGAGGGAUUUUGUCUGGGUAAGUAUUCAUGAUAUUAGUAAAGUAUGUUGCGUUAUUCGUAUCGCUUAUUUAACAUUUUUAUUUUUCUUUUGUCAGGACCAGCCGCACGACUGGUCAAACGACCAUCUCCGAUGCUUAUAAGUGGUUCCACGACAUCAUCACUCCAGGAGCUUGGCUUGCCGACGAUGUAAGUGAAGUAGUCAUAUUGUUAUUUUUUGUGUAUAUAAUUUUUUAUUUAUGCAAUGAAAUAACUCCUUUUUAUAUUGGUGUUUCUUAAUGCAGCACAUCGACCUAGCCAUGGACUUUUUGCGUGAUCGGGUUCAAAGAUAUCUGAGGUCAUUUGACAGUCUUGGUUGAGUCAUACUGAAUUUGGAGUUCAGCUGAAGCAUUGACAUUGAGUACUAGUCGCUACAAUGUGCUGGUAUGAAGUACGUGGUGCCUGAUUAUAUGCUCGAGUGGACCAUAGGGAUGUGGCCACAUGUUGGGAGGAAGCCAUGGGAGGGUUGUACGCAUAUGUACAUACCAGUGAUCUUGAAUUCGCACUGCAUAGCUUUGGAGAUUGUGCUGGCCAAGUCUACUGUAUAUGUGUAUGACCCCGAUCAUUUAUGUCUGACACAGAGUCAGUUCGAGCAAAAUCUGGAGUCCAUCGCUAUUUUAGUCCCAUGAUGGUUAGAUGCCCCGGGCUUGACUCUGAACGACAGAUUAGCCAUCAUGCCCAGGCUAGGCAGACAAUAUCGUAAGUGGUUCUACAUUUUUUUAAAUUUAAUACUUAAUUUUUUCUAUAUGAUAAAGAUCUAACUUAUUAUUGUUCAAUUGCAGGGGUGAUUGCGGCAAGUUUGCAAUAAAAUAUAUUGAGUUUUUGAGUACCUAGGUUGAUGGAAUCAACUAAUCCUGAAUGCAAAUUUGGAGAAAUAAGUUAGCAUGCGAUUUGCACGACUUUAGUUGUGAUCUGUAAAUGCUGUAAAAAUUUGAUUUUUUUAAUUACGAAAUGUUUGUAAACACUUUGUAUAUUGAUUUGUACCUUGUGG
rnacentral:lncRNA from 1 species